UGAGGAAUAUUGGUCAAUGGGAGAGAUCCUGAACCAGCCAAGCCGCGUGAGGGAAGACGGCACUACGUGUUGUAAACCUCUUUUGCCGGGGAACAAAAGCGGGGACGCGUCCCCGUCUGCGUGUACCCGGAGAAAAAGCAUCGGCUAACUCCGUGCC
rnacentral:rRNA from 1 species